rnacentral:rRNA from 1 species
CAGUCGCCGCGGUAAUACGAAGGGGGCUAGCGUUGCUCGGAAUCACUGGGCGUAAAGGGUGCGUAGGCGGGUCUUUAAGUCAGGGGUGAAAUCCUGGAGCUCAACUCCAGAACUGCCUUUGAUACUGAAGAUCUUGAGUAUGGGAGAGGUGAGUGGAACUGCGAGUGUAGAGGUGAAAUUCGUAGAUAUUCGCAAGAACACCAGUGGCGAAGGCGGCUCACUGGCCCAUAACUGACGCUGAGGCACGAAAGCGUGGGGAGCAAACAGGAUUAGAUACCCGAGUAGUCCCUGUCUCUUAUAC